rnacentral:rRNA from 1 species
AGAGUUUGAUCCUGGCUCAGGAUGAACGCUGGCGGCGUGCUUAACACAUGCAAGUCGAACGGAAAUAUUUUGGUGAUGCGAUUUCGGUCAAAUCAUAGAAUAUUUUAGUGGCGGACGGGUGAGUAACGCGUGGAUAACCUGCCUUGUACUGGGGGAUAACACUUAGAAAUAGGUGCUAAAACCGCAUAAGCGCACAGCUUCGCAUGAAGCAGAGUGAAAAAGGAAGCAUAGCUUCCUGGUAUAAGAUGGAUCCGCGUCUGAUUAGAUAGUUGGUGAGGUAAAGGCCCACCAAGUCAACGAUCAGUAGCCGGCCUGAGAGGGUGAACGGCCACAUUGGGACUGAGACACGGCCCAAACUCCUACGGGAGGCAGCAGUGGGGAAUAUUGGACAAUGGGGGAAACCCUGAUCCAGCGACGCCGCGUGAGUGAAGAAGUAUUUCGGUAUGUAAAGCUCUAUCAGCAGGGAAGAAAAGGGACUUCGGUUCAUAUGACGGUACCUGACUAAGAAGCCCCGGCUAACUACGUGCCAGCAGCCGCGGUAAUACGUAGGGGGCAAGCGUUAUCCGGAUUUACUGGGUGUAAAGGGAGCGUAGACGGCAAGGCAAGUCUGAUGUGAAAACCCAUGGCUUAACCAUGGGACUGCAUUGGAAACUGUCUGGCUGGAGUGCAGGAGAGGUAAGUGGAAUUCCUAGUGUAGCGGUGAAAUGCGUAGAUAUUAGGAGGAACACCAGUGGCGAAGGCGGCUUACUGGACUGUAACUGACGUUGAGGCUCGAAAGCGUGGGGAGCAAACAGGAUUAGAUACCCUGGUAGUCCACGCCGUAAACGAUGAUUACUAGGUGUCGGGGGUUUAUAAACCUUCGGUGCCGCAGCAAACGCAAUAAGUAAUCCACCUGGGGAGUACGUUCGCAAGAAUGAAACUCAAAGGAAUUGACGGGGACCCGCACAAGCGGUGGAGCAUGUGGUUUAAUUCGAAGCAACGCGAAGAACCUUACCUGGUCUUGACAUCCUUCUGAAUACAGAGUAAUGUCUGUAGUCCUUCGGGACAGAAGAGACAGGUGGUGCAUGGUUGUCGUCAGCUCGUGUCGUGAGAUGUUGGGUUAAGUCCCGCAACGAGCGCAACCCUUAUCUUUAGUAGCCAGCAAUUCGGAUGGGAACUCUAGAGAGACUGCCGGGGAUAACCCGGAGGAAGGUGGGGAUGACGUCAAAUCAUCAUGCCCCUUAUGACCAGGGCUACACACGUGCUACAAUGGCGUAAACAAAGGGAAGCAGAGUCGUGAGGCCGAGCAAAUCCCAGAAAUAACGUCUCAGUUCGGAUUGUAGUCUGCAACUCGACUACAUGAAGCUGGAAUCGCUAGUAAUCGCGAAUCAGGAUGUCGCGGUGAAUACGUUCCCGGGUCUUGUACACACCGCCCGUCACACCAUGGGAGUCGGAAAUGCCCGAAGUCAGUGACCCAACCGUAAGGAGGGAGCUGCCGAAGGCAGGUCUGAUAACUGGGGUGAAGUCGUAACAAGGUAACC